AGAGUUGCUAUGAUGCUGAAAACUACCUAUUUUAUGAUUCUUGAUUAGAAACAACCAAUGGAUCCUUCUGAGCACUCUU